GACGAACGCUGGCGGCGUGCUUAACACAUGCAAGUCGAACGGAAAGGCCCUGCUUUUGUGGGGUGCUCGAGUGGCGAACGGGUGAGUAACACGUGAGUAACCUGCCCUUGACUUUGGGAUAACUUCAGGAAACUGGGGCUAAUACCGGAUAGGAGCUCCUGCUGCAUGGUGAGGGUUGGAAAGUUUCGGCGGUUGGGGAUGGACUCGCGGCUUAUCAGCUUGUUGGUGGGGUAGUGGCUUACCAAGGCUUUGACGGGUAGCCGGCCUGAGAGGGUGACCGGCCACAUUGGGACUGAGAUACGGCCCAGACUCCUACGGGAGGCAGCAGUGGGGAAUAUUGCACAAUGGGCGGAAGCCUGAUGCAGCAACGCCGCGUGCGGGAUGACGGCCUUCGGGUUGUAAACCGCUUUCGCCCGUGACGAAGCGUGAGUGACGGUAAUGGGUAAAGAAGCACCGGCUAACUACGUG
rnacentral:rRNA from 1 species